rnacentral:rRNA from 1 species
CAGUCGCCGCGGGAAUACGAACCGUGCGAACGUUAUUCGGAAUCAUUGGGCUUAAAGCGCGUGUAGGCGGAUGGGAACGUCGGUCGCUGAAAUACCCCGGCUCAACCGGGGAACUGGCAUCGAAACGACCCGUCUCGAGGGGCAUAGGGGGAGCUGGAACUUCCGGUGGAGCGGUGAAAUGCGUUGAGAUCGGAAGGAACGCCCGUGGCGAAAGCGAGCUCCUGGAUGUCUUCUGACGCUGAGACGCGAAAGCUAGGGUAGCGAACGGGAUUAGAUACCCCCGUAGUCCCUGUCUCUUAUA